rfam:Triticum aestivum genome assembly, contig: Triticum_aestivum_CS42_TGACv1_scaffold_641020_T_5DS-0.258460_7DL-0.165897
UUACUGCUCCCUCCGUUUCAAAUUAGUUGACUUGAAUUUGUCUAAAUAUGAAUGUAUCUAUACUUGUUUAGUAUCUAGAUACAUUCGUGUUUAAAUUAAUAUUGGUCAAAUAAUUUGGAACAGAAGAAGUAAAAG